CAGCAGCCACGGUAAUACGAAGGGGGCUAGCGUUGUUCGGAAUUACUGGGCGUAAAGCGCACGUAGGCGGAUACUUAAGUCAGGGGUGAAAUCCCGGGGCUCAACCCCGGAACUGCCUUUGAUACUGGGUAUCUCGAGUCCGGAAGAGGUGAGUGGAAUUCCGAGUGUAGAGGUGAAAUUCGUAGAUAUUCGGAGGAACACCAGUGGCGAAGGCGGCUCACUGGUCCGGUACUGACGCUGAGGUGCGAAAGCGUGGGGAGCAAACAGGAUUAGAUACCCCUGUGUCCCUGUCUCUUAUACA
rnacentral:rRNA from 1 species